rnacentral:rRNA from 1 species
UACGUAGGGGGCUAGCGUUGUCCGGAAUCAUUGGGCGUAAAGAGCGUGUAGGCGGCCCGGUAAGUCCGCUGUGAAAGUCGGGGGCUCAACCCUCGAAUGCCGGUGGAUACUGUCGGGCUAGAGUGCGGAAGAGGCGAGUGGAAUUCCUGGUGUAGCGGUGAAAUGCGCAGAUAUCAGGAGGAACACCGAUUGCGAAGGCAGCUCACUGGGACGGUACUGACGCUGAGACGCGAAAGCGUGGGGAGCAAACAGG